AAGGCUGUUAAACAGUCCAUGCAACAAACUUAUAUAGCUGUUUACUAACUCUUCUUGUUGGGACCAUUUCUCCAUAUUAGGACCAUCUUUACAGGGCAAAAAAUGGCAGAUAGAUUGCGCCUGGCAGUUGGAGUCAUGGGAAAUGCAGCUUCUUUGUUACUUUAUGCUGCACCCAUAUUAACAUUUUCAAGGGUGAUAAGGAAGAAAGGCACAGAAGGGUUUUCAUGCAUCCCUUAUAUCAUUGCACUGUUAAACUGUCUCCUUUAUACUUGGUAUGGACUACCUAUUACAAGUUACAGAUGGGAGAAUUUCCCUGUGGUCACUAUCAAUGGUUUAGGUAUCCUUCUUGAGUUUUCCUUCAUUUUGAUACACUUUUGGUUUGCUUCAGCCAGAGGCAAGAUGAAGGUUGCUGCUACGUUGAUACCUGUUAUCCUAGUGUUCAGCAUCACUGCAGUUAUCUCAGGUUUUGUAUUCCAUGACCACCAUCAUCGCAAGGUGUUUGUGGGCAGUGUUGGACUGGUGGCCUCUGUGGCAAUGUAUGGUUCUCCACUGGUGGCUGUGAAGCAAGUUAUACAAACGAAGAGCGUAGAAUUCAUGCCAUUCUAUUUAUCUUUUUUCUCAUUCAUUGCUAGCUCACUUUGGAUGACCUAUGGACUGCUGAGCCAUGAUCUAUUUCUUGCGUCCCCUAAUCUGGUUGGUAGCCCCUUAGGCAUCCUCCAACUUGUUCUUUAUUGCAAGUACAGGAAAAGGGGAACUAUAGAAGAAUCAAACAAAUGGGAUUUAGAACAAAAUGAAGAGAAAUCCAAACAGUUGCAGUUCAUGAUGAAUAAUGAUGACAACAGCAAGAGUUGAAGAAUUCAACUAAAAGGAGUGACUUCAAUUCUUGGAGGAACAAAUUUCAAGAAGAGGAUAAUCACAGCUGAAGUCUCAGUAAACAGCAUGAACAUAGGAAGAAAAUGAUCCACAUCCCUUAAAUUGAUGCCAAAGUGGGAGCAAUAAUAAAUAGUUCAAAAACUGGAGCAGCAGAUGCAUAUGAUAGACCACACAUGCGUAACCCUCUAAUGUAGGGAUCACUGUGAUAUGCUGUAAAAGCAAUUUUAAUAUGCUCAACACAGAACGUAAUAAUUAUCA